UUUCCAAGCCAUCAGGGGCACUAAUAGUUCAGAAUUACUUAAUUUCUCUUCUAUUCAAAAUAUCUGAUGCUCUUCGUUUUGGAAACAUAUGGUUCCCUAUGUCAUGGCUUUUAGGCUUGGCCAUGUACCUUGUCCUGGAUAGAGAAAUGUGACAAAAUUAGCUGAGUGACUCAGUCCACCAUUACAAGAACUAGAAAUAUGUUCAAUUACUUUUUUUUUUUUAAAUAUUACAAUACUGUUUAGGGGGAAGCCAUACCAAUCAGUGCUCAUUCAGAUGCUUAAAAAGGUCAUGUGAUAGAAUAAAUUUAAAAAGGAGGCAAAAAAAUCUAACAGACUUAAACAUUAUUCCUGAGGAGAUGCACAAUGCAAAGGAUAGACACUGCGAAAAAGGCACCUUAAAGAUGAUUUUUAAAAUAACAUUAAGUAGUUACUUUAAGGAAGUCAUCAUUAAACAUUUAUAGGCUAAAUGAAAGACUCACCAUCUUGGAGGUGACGUCAGUAAGAUGGUAGAAUAAGAGGUCCCCUGUUCAUACCCCUCUACAACGACAGUAAUUGUCAGCCAUCCAUGGACAGAAGUAUAUUUGUGGGAGCUUCAAGAUCCCGGCAGGGGCUUGCAAAACCUCGGUGGAGGCCACGACUGAGGAGGACCAAUUUGAGAAAGCUGGCCUGUGCUCAGGUGGCAGGCUUGCCAACUUCGGUCCUGGCUGCAGACAAUAGCCCAUCCCCUCGCAGACUCAGCUAUAGUUCUGUUUGGCUUUGGUCCUGCUACCAGCACUAUCUGCCAAGAGGCCCAGGGGGAGUCACACCCACUUGUGUCCCAGGGUAUGUUCACAAAUACCAGGCUUGCCUGACUUUUGAACAAAAUCCAGUCUCAGCAAUGACACAACUUAAUCUGAAGAAGAGCACAUCACCAUGGCCCAGAGCUCCUCAACAUCUCUGCUGCAGCCCCCUGUCUCAGAAAGCCUGUUUUCCUGCAGCCUGUCUGGACUCUGAAUUCAUGACCCACAUGGGUGGACCUUUCCCUAAGAGUGGUCUGAGGGGCACGAUCCCAAAUCCAUGUCUCACAAGCACCUACACCGCACUGUUUGGAGGACCCUGUUUUCUAUCUCCAGUGGGAGUGCCUUAAGCUCAUGGACAACUGAUUAACUAGCCCAGUGCCUGGAACACAGCAGAGUCUCAUCACAGCUGUGAAAAUGAACUGAACGAAUGGUGGAAGUUGAAGUCAUCUUCCUUCCAAAUCGACAGACGCCAGAGAAAUGCUCGGCACACACCAACAAUGUGUGGUUUCUCUGCUGACGGUUCUCCUGGGCCAGGCCUUCCCUUUCAGGAUAGCCUGUCCCAUCAAUCACUUCUAGAUCCUUUCUAGAAAGUCUCCUCAUUCCUCUUGGUAUUCCUCUGGAUCAAGGCCCUGCCUUCGGCAAGUGAAAGCUUAUUUUGAAACAAAACACAUACAGCUUCUAAAAAUAUGUGUUUUCAGUGAAAAACAGUUGGUCCUGUUUUCCACUGUGGCCAAGAUGGUGCCAUCAUUUAAGGGAAAAAUGGCAAUUAUCUUUUACUUAGGCUUUAUUGCCAAUCUCAUCAGGAGAAGGUUUCAUGCAGGUAAGAAACACUUAAAUAAGCAAAAAUAAAAUUAAAGCCACAGAGAGAUCAGAUACAGCAAUGAUUAAGUGGUUAUAAAGCUUCACAUCUUAUUUUUCAAAAAAGUCUUAGAAAAUGUAACAACUGCCCAUAAAGUUUUGAUCAAUGAUGUACAUGACUUGAGAUUCUACCGGAGUUAUUGGUAGCAUGGGAAAUCUGAGGAGGAAAUGUGAUUUUUCUACCCUAGAAGUAUAAGCAGGUAGUAUAGGGGGUCUCCAGAGAAAGAGAACCAGGCAUGGCUUUCUUGACAUAACGGAAGCCAUUUUGGUCUAAGCCAUUUUGGGAUCUAAGCCUGGCCGCAAUGCUUGUCCUUGAAUAGGUCUUAGUAAUGAAUGAUCUAAGGGAAAAAAAGAAUGCAGAACAGAGAAAAGGCAGUCAAACAAUAGUACAGUGCUAAAGCAAAGCCCUAUUUCCUCCUCAGAGGAUAUACAUAAUAACAUAUCUUUGAGUUCUGCAGGAACUAAGUAAGGUCCCACCCAGGUGGAGGACAGAAGGAUGAUGCUGACGCCCCAGAGUUCAAUCAACUAAAGGUUGGACUCUGUCGAUCUUUGCUCCCAAUUCUAUGCUGAAUUAUCCUCUGAAAAAGCCCAUUCAUGAAUAUGCAUAUACUCUGAGCUUAAAACUUCCCCAGUUUUGCUGUUGGGGAGACACCAUUUGGGGAAAGAUCCCCGGUGUUAUCCUUACUUGCUGCAAUUAGUAAUAAAUCCUUCCUUCCCCCGCACUUUGGCUAGGUUGUGUCUUUUGGCUUGAUAUCCACCAGGAGGCGAACCCAGUUUUUGGGUAACAGAACCAACUUUCAUUUACUUCUCUCAAUUACCCACGCCAUGAAAAUUAUCUCACGUUUGCCUACAAUUUGGUUCACUACUGUUGAAGAUAUCCUGUGUAAGGAAUGUAUUUUGGAAACAGUCUGUGAAAUACUCCCUUGUAAACUAUUGGUGAAAGAUUUCAAAUGGUGCUAGGAAAAUGUAUAUGUUCAUUAAACAUUGCUGCAAAUUAA